UACGUAGGGGGCUAGCGUUGUCCGGAAUCAUUAGGCGUAAAGCGCGUGUAGGCGGUCCGGUAAGUCCGCUGUGAAAGUCGGGGGCUCAACCCUCGGAUGCCGGUGGAUACUGUCGGGCUUGAGUACGGAAGAGGCGAGUGGAAUUCCUGGUGUAGCGGUGAAAUGCGCAGAUAUCAGGAGGAACACCAAUUGCGAAGGCAGCUCGCUGGGACGUUACUGACGCUGAGACGCGAAAGCGUGGGGAGCAAACAGG
rnacentral:rRNA from 1 species